GAGCGUGUUUAAUCAACGCGCGGAGAAGACGCUGCGGGGCGUCCGCAUUCGGACUGUCGGCCCUGUCGUUGCAACCCUUUCAAGGCGGCUGCAACACCCCGCCAUAAAUAACGGGGCGUUCUGGAGCCACGGGGGGAUGACGACGCUGUGUCCUCUCCGUUUGAUUCUCAAACGGCUACGGGUUCUCAAUGAACUCGUGCACGCAACGCCUCGUCGCCGUGUAAUUUAUGAACUACGCGAUGCCACGACGAGUAUCUGAAUUCGAGGGCAUCGCUUGCAUCGGGGCAGCUUUACAUCGAGCGCGAGUUUAUCCUGCGAAAUAAACCAGUAAAUUUCCUCCAUCGAACUACAGUAUCAGCUUUGAAAUGUGAGUGAAGAUAAAUAUGCAUCGAGUCUGUCGCCACACAGUGGUGUCACGGUAUAACUAUAUUCACGGGACGGUAGGUAAGAAACACCGUAGUAGACAAUGGGACCGCGAAGUUACCACACCGGCCAUUGUCUUUGCCGCGUCGCUUCGAUUUUUACGAGUAUCAACGCGAAUUGAUUUCACGUGAAACUGGCAUCACGCUUCGCGAGACCUGGACGCGGAUACUUGUGGGCGCUUCUGUAAAUGGUUCAAAAAACUUACAGGUCUCGAGUCCUAAUAACUCAACGACUCGUCAGGGUCCAGCACCGAGUGAACGAAACUCCGGGAGGUUAAAAUCCUCGGCAACCGAUUCGAAGCAGGCGAUGUUCGGGGCGGAGCGCAAAAAAGACACUCUAGCAAGAUGCUAAUUGCCCGGGAUGAUUAGCCCAGCGUACCACCGGGCCGUGCAACGGUCGGUGAAAGAAGAUAAUGCGUAAAUCAAUCAACGAGCCCUACGACCGUUUCGACGACAAAGCCCGGGAUAAUUGGAGUAGCGACAAGUUGAUCAGGCGCGGCUUCUUUCACGACGCGACGCGGAAUGGAGCGGAUCAGAUUCUGCUCGUCUACCCGGCUCACUGGAGAGUCCUGUCGGAGCCCUUAGUCAUCGAGAGACCGCAUCGCGAGCGUGCCUUAUGGGGACUAAAAGAAAAGAGCGCAUCACGGUGUCCCGCCACCCUGACCACCUGAUUAUUUAUUCGAGCGCAGUGACCUCGUUUGGGGCAACGUUUCGCUAUCGUUAUUAUUUUUUUAAAUUCUUCUCCCUCCUCGUGGAAGAAGAGGGACGAGACAUAGAGUGGCCUUGGUCUCGGGGAUGGGGAACCUGCGACGACGAGGACGAAGGAACUUUUUUAGAUUUUUUUAGGAACUUUGUGAACACGUGGCUAUUGUAAAUUCUAUAGUGUCAUUUAAAUUAGACGGGGAAGGGGCAAAUAGAUUCGUCGAUAUAUGAUUAACCCUUUCAGACCUGAAUUAUUCUUUUUUCUCGUACUAAUGUAUCAAUUUAAUUUUUAGAGUUGGAAAGAAUUUUUAAAAAAAUUUUAAUAAUGGCGUGGUUUUCGAGGAAAACUGGUGUUUCUUCAUGUGCGCAAAUAAGGACAUUCGUCCUAAACGACAGUUCGUCGUAGUAAUUUUGUGUCCUCAAUUGUGGACGCCAGGUCUGAAAGGGCUAAUUUCCUAUUUCAAUCGUUGUCUUUAGAAAUUAAUUUCUCUGAGUGCUUCGUAAACCCAGACUGAAGUCUUCCGAUUCCGCACCCAGAUGGAUCCCCACCUAAAAAAUGACAUCCUCCUUAAAAAAAACAAUACGUAAACCACACCAUGAACCUAAAAUAUCCAAGUACCUCCUAACAAUACUAAUUCCACUCAACCUAAUCGUAGGCCAUUAACCUGGACACCGAGACACUUCAAUUUCCUGUUGUUCAGAGAUGGCCACCCAAGUCAUCGCAGAGCCACCCUCAAGUUGCGAGCAGACAGUCCUAAUCGCAGGUAUUCACAUUACGUCGUCCAAGCUCUGCAUCUCUUUGCGAUUGUUCAGAGACACCGGACGGAUACGCGACUCGAGUCGCUCGAGCAGCGAGCGACGGUAGCGGCGAUUUCAACGCUCAUUGCGACUCAACCGGUGGAAAUCCGGCGGAACGCGCCAUUACCGUGAACGUAAGCGUUUCGUCCCGUAGAAACGGGAAGAGCAUUGUUGCGAAAAGCCGAGCUUGGGCAACAGCGUCGAGAGCUGGGUUCGGUUCGGGUUUUACAAAAUCGUCGAGAGUCGGUCGUCCUGGCGUUCGCGGUUGCCUCAAAAGGCAACGGUGAGUCCUCGAGUGUUCGAUGCGCCGGAUUAUUGGCUGAAUAUUGCUCAUUGUUCCGGUGUCGAAACAUCGGGACGUAGUAGUUACCCUGACGCGCACCCACGUCGAAACGCCAGCCAGGGUUUCUCAAAUUUUACAUUUCAGACGAAAUUACCGGUAGAUAUUACCGAAAAAUAUUCUAUGACGGGCUAUUCCCGGGUGCUAUGGAUAUAAUAGUAAAUUACAGUGAAAUUAAAGCGAUGUACAGGAUGAAUCAAUCAAGAUCAUCCGAAGGUCGAUAUAAUAUGCUCUUUUGAGCACUUCUUGGUUAUCUAAAUUGUAUCGCUAUAUACCACCCCUAUAGCCACUAUCGCUAUAGCCACCCCUUGCUGCGUUACUCGUUCCUGAUUUUGCAAUUACAAACGAUUCCUCCACUCAAGAUAUCUAAGAAUCCAAAGGGGAUGCAAAUGGAAGGUUCCAUAGCAAAAACUCGCGAAUCACCGCUAACACUCUCUGACUGACGGACUCCGGCCUGAGAAACCCUGCUCGCGAGGAAUUACAAAAUCCUCGUUGGUUUGAAUGGAAACGCGUCAUCGGUAUCGUUACUUUCCAUUGUGUUCGAUCAAUUGUUCGAGAAAUCCGCGAGCGUUCCUCGAAAGUCGGGACGGGGGGUGGGGCGGGGGACGAGUAACCGACAGCAGGGUGAAAGGAUUCCUCUCGGUACGUCGAGGCCUACGGCAGCCAGUAAUGUUGAUUGCGCGGAAUUCCGUAUCGGCUUCUCUCCUCUCCUCGUCGAUGAGGGUUCUUGUCGACGCGCGACUCCGCGUUUCACCGUGUCCACCGGUACCCGACUUCUCUCGCCGGGAUGCUCGGUUCGCUUCUUCCGUCGCGGAUCGAAUCGCGAUCGGAUGUCUGUUACCGAUGUCAAUCUCCUUUUUUGCGCUUACGUCGAGACGAAAAUCGGGGGACGCGAGCAGACUCGACGAGACUCUCUUCGAAGAGCUCCCACGUUUCAUUUCGCGCGCUUUUUUCCCGUGUAAUGCAGAUCGCGCGAUCGUGCAUUUUCUUAGGGUCAUUCUAAUCGAUUUUCGUUUCUCUGCUGUAGUACCUACAGGGUAUGGCACGUUUUUGUCUGAAUAUACAACGUAUAAAAAACGUUGGUACGUAUGUACAUCUGACCAUCACGGCUGAACCAUUGAAACUAUCCACCUUAUAUUCGCACCAUAUAUUAGUCCAGUGAUUUGGGUUGUUUUUGUUUGCGUUAGACUACCCCUAGGUUCUACACGGGGCACAGUUAGUUAUUAAUAAUUUCUUCAAUCUUAAAUAUUUUCAAAAGUUUUGGGUUUAAUUUGAAGCUGAGGCUUUAGUAGCUCUUGGUGGUAUCGGUCGUCCUAAUUUGUAAUCGAAAUGACCUACAAGGAGCUCGAGGUACCUCGGGUUCGCCAAACCCGUACUGCAGCAGUAACCAAGUACGGCUACAGUCCCUGAGGGCAGAACACAUGACAAGUUUGUCUAUUAAGAUGUUUCACUGUCAACGACGUAGCAUACCGAGCAAACCUAGAAUAUCAACCUAGAAAGCUUUCCAGCCAACCUUACUAGAACACCGUGAUUUGGUUCCUCGUACACCCGCUAAAUUUCACGAAAUUUCGUCAUAUUUCCGAUCAAAAUCUCGCACGACAAGAUCCUAAUCGAGACGAUAGCCUCAAGUGACACGUAUUCCGAAAAAAGGUACAGGUGACCGAAGGUGGACAAAUAAUUAUGCAAAUAGGCGAACGAUAGGAUCAGAAGGAAUGAACGGCGCCGAUCGAACGACCCAUUAAUAUCUACAUUCCAUCGGCUUGCUUCGUAGUCUCACGGACUUAAUUUCGUCGGAAUAAUGGAAUUCCCAGCGCCAAAAUUUAUGGAGACACGCCGCGCCACGGAAACGCUUUCUACGGCGUUUCUGUCGCGCGUAAGCACGCGCAUAAAUCCCGCCACUUUUUUUUUCAACGUCGACGGGAGUAAAUUUCAGUCCGCCCGUGAAUUAUCUAAUUUUGCUUAUCUUCGCGAAAACGUCCCUAGAAAGUACGAACCGCUCGCCAUCUUGGGGCGCGGAGCGCUGUUUACGCUCAAUCUGGUAUCGCGAUCGUGAGAAACUUUAUUAUUUGGUUGGCGAGUGCUCGCGGAACUCGAGAAUUAGUUAUGUAAAUUGGUAGAAAUUACGGAGAAUAUUAUCCUCCAUUUUUAUUCUACUUCACUUGUUUCUGCAUAGAAUCUCGGUAUCUAUUUAUUUAUCGAAUCGAUAAAUGCACAUUUUUAUACAAAUCGUGUAUGAUUGAUACAAACAUGAAAAAAGCAAAGAACAAAGAUAACUCUGAAUUUCUAACUCCGAAAGAUUAUCGUAACCAUUUCUUGUCGUAGCAUAGUAGACGUUUGCACAGGUAAACGGCUUUCGGACCUAAGGCAUCUUUUUUUAAGUAUUCGAACCACUGUGCGAUUUCGAGAGAGGGCCGCACGCACACAUCCUCGCGUGCCCCAGCGUGUUUUAUUACCGUGAACCGUCGGCAUUCUUCUUUUCUUUCCUCCUUUCCACGGCCUCGCGACUGGCCACACUUGAUCUGGACGCGUGCGUGGCUUUCCCUCCUCCUUACCUCGUCACGUUAUCUCACGAUUACGCUCGAUCUCUUUUUACUCGCUCGCCGCCCUUCGACGCUCCAUGCUUUAUUAUUCAUCAAGAAAACACCUCUGCCAUCGCGAAGCUAUCUUUAAUUGUGACCAUUACAAUUUUGCACACAUUCGUCAUUUUAGUGGAACACAGCUUGUCCACAUGGAUACCGAUUUCUUCUGUUUCUGUAACAAUUUCGUUCUGGCCAACCAUGUACCUUUCAUAAAUAAAUACUUCGCUUACUAUAACUGUCGCCAACUACCAUCAACCGUGAGCUAGAAGACGAGCAACGUUGAGAGGCACUGGGCAAACCAAACUCAUUCGCUAGUGUAUCGGUUUAAACAAACGCAACCAAGAUUCCCAGCAACGAGGAUUUCAAACGCGACCCUAACCGCUCAACACCUUCCCCGAAUAAACCACUUGCCGAGAGUCAGCGGACCAAGCACGGAUUACUAGGAAACACCGGUAGUUAAUUCGAGUCCUCGGGCGAUCGUAUCGAUAAUAGAGGAUCCAGCAGAAGGUGUGAUAGCAGGACCUAACGAAGAGCAAGAAAAGCAGGAAGAAGCGGUGUCACGAGGGGGACGGUCCUUCUUCGCUCGGAACACCACGGUACUCGGAGAAACGAGCGGCCAGGAGGCACCGAACGAACCAGGAGACGAGGACGAGACAACGGGAGAGGAAGAGGGAACCUUCGUUGACGAUCUUGCCCGGCGUUUCUCGCGCACGCGGGCUGAGAGUACGCGUCGUGGAUACUCUGUGGCCCGGGAAAUCCUUCCUCCUUGCGCACCUGCGAACAACCAGGGCGUGGAAGAGGAACCUCCGCGACGAGAAAAAGUGAUCGGUUACCCUUGGAUUGGAUCCGUGCCCACGGAUUGGUUACGCGUGGCUUCACCGCUCGGAGGGAUGAGGAACGAUAAUCGCGGGCACGUUAAAGUAACGAAGAAGAGUAGCUGGAAAGACUAACGAGGAAAUAUGUACACGAAC